AGAUGUCUAUAGGACCCCUCCACAACAGAGACCAGCUAGAUGUCUAUAGGUUCCCCUGACCCCUCCACAACAGAGACCAGCUAGAUGUCUAUAGGUCCCCUCCACAACAGAGACCAGCUAGAUGUCUAUAGGUUCCCCUGACCCCUCCACAACAGAGACCAGCUAGAUGUCUAUAGGACCCCUGACCCCUCCACAACAGAGACCAGCUAGAUGUCUAUAGGACCCCUGACCCCUCCACAACAGAGACCAGCUAGAUGUCUAUAGGUCCCCUGACCCCUCCACAACAGAGACCAGCUAGAUGUCUAUAGGUCCCCUGACCCCUCCACAACAGAGACCAGCUAGAUGUCUAUAGGUCCCCUGACCCCUUCACAACAGAGACCAGCUAAAUGUCUAUAGGUCCCCUCCACAACAGAGACCAGCCAGAUGUCUAUAGAUCCCCUCCACAACAGAGACCAGCUAGAUGUCUAUAGGUCCCCUCCACAACAGAGACCAGCUAGAUGUCUAUAGGUCCCCUGACCCCUUCACAACAGAGACCAGCUAAAUGUCUAUAGGUCCCCUCCACAACAGAGACCAGCUAGAUGUCUAUAGGUCCCCUCCACAACAGAGACCAGCCAGAUGUCUAUAGAUCCCCUCCACAACAGAGACCAGCUAGAUGUCUAUAGGUCCCCUGACUCUUCCACAACAGAGACCAGCUGGAUGUCUAUAGGUUCCCCUGACCCCUCUACAACAGAGACCAGCUUGAUGUCUAUACGUCCCCUCCACAACAGAGACCAGCUAGAUGUCUAUAUGUCCCCUCCACAGCAGAGACAAGC